CGGUAAUUCCAGCUCCAAUAGCGUAUACUAAAGUUGUUGCAGUUAAAAAGCUCGUAGUUGGAUUUCUGCGGGGACGGAGCGGCCGGACGCAACUUGCGUCUCGAGCUAGCGCUUUCCCCGCAUCCUGCCGCGAACCGUGCUACCAUUAGUUUGGUGGCGCUGGGGGUCGGCUCGAUUACUUUGAGAAAAAUAGAGUGUUCAAAGCAGGCCACACGCCUUGAAUAGGUUAGCAUGGAAUAAUGACUAAGGACUUCGGUUCUAUUUUGUUGGUGUUCGGGACUGAAGUAAUGAUUGAUAGGGACAGUUGGGGCGGUCUGUAUUUCAAAGCGAGAGGUGAAAUUCUUAGACCUUCGGAAGACAAACAGCUGCGAAAGCGUUCCGCAAGGAUGUUCCCUUUGAUCAAGAACGAAAGUUGGGGGAUCGAAGACGAUCAGAUACCGUCGUAGUCUCAACUAUAAACUAUAUCAGUUAGGGAUCGGUUAACGUUUAAUUAUUCGAUUUGGUCGGCACCUUAUGAGAAAUCAAAGCAUCUGGGUUCCGGGGGGAGUAUGGUCGCAAGGUUGAAACUUAAAGGAAUUGACGGAAGGGCAUUACCAGCCGUGGAGCCUGUGGCUUAAUUUGACUCAACACGGGAAAACUUACCAGGUCCAGACAUAGGAAGGAUUGACAGAUUGAUAGCUCUUUCUUGAUUCUGUGGGUGGUGGUGCAUGGCCGUUUUUAGUUGGUGGAGUGAUUUGUCUGCUUAAUUGCAUUAACGGACGAGACCCUAGUUUGCUAAAUAGCGCGGCCGAGCUUUGCUCGGUGCGAGCUUUUUAGAGGGACCAUGAUGCGCGAUAGCACAAGGAAGUUUGGGGCAACAACAGGUCUGUGAUGCCCUUAGAUGUUCUGGGCUGCACACGGGCUACACUGGCGUUUGUAAUGAGCAUAUCAGCUGGCCCGAGAGGGUCUUGGCUAAUCUUUUGAACCGGCGCUGUGCUUGGGAUUGACCUUUGCAAUUGUUGGUCAUGCAACGAGGAAUGUUUUGUAAACGCGAGUCAUCAGCUCGUAUUGAAUACGUUUUUGUUUUUUGUACACAUUGUUCGUCGCUCCUACCGAUGAAUGUUUUGAUGAAAUUUUCGGAGAGCGCCAGAGAACGGGGCUCUGUUUUGCAGAUUUGGAGGCUCAAAGUCAUUUAAAUCUGAACAUUUCGAGGAAGGAGAAGUCGUAACAAGGUAGCCG
rnacentral:rRNA from 1 species